AAGAUCACGUGAUGAGAGAAACUGUCCUCCUGUUAAAAACUGUCCUGCACAGGUCGGUGGAGCAGCAGCUGGUUAUAUCACAGGUACCUGUGACAUGUCAGGUGGGUUUCAUCAGAGAGCAGGGACUAAGCACCUGUACGGUCCUUCAGGUUGGAGGAUUUGUUGCAGUCAGAUAAGGUGAUUAAAAGAGCUUCAGUCUAAGUUCAGACGAUCGAUAUAAACUCAGGCUCCUUUAAAUCCAGAAUUUAAGUUUCUCUUGAUUUGAGUCUUAUGGAAUAAACCUUCCAUGAAGUCACUGACGGAGACUGGAGAAGUGUUGAUACAGACUCAUGCUGUGGACUCUGAGGGCGUCAAACCCUGAGAUUAAAUCUCACAGUCCGUCAGUGCUGUGCUCGAGCCUCUGAUGAUGAGAGAGUUCACCUUCAUCCACCCGCUGGACUCACGAGUCCAGCUGUGAAGCCGGAGAGUCGAAGUGUGUGAAACAUGCGUGUGUACCUGUGAUGGACUGUUUAUUUAAUGAGAAGGAAAAUGCUGGUGAAGAUUCAGGAGACUUCAUCUAAAGGAGCAGAGCAGGUUCCUGAUUCUACGUUUCUAAAAAGGCAGAAUCUGAUUUGAUUUUGAAACCGAACACGUGAAGCUAAGUCCUGAAGGAACACGUGAAACUGCACAAGGACGACGGGACAACAAUGAGGCGAAAGACAGAUUCUUUGAUUCUGGUCCUGCUGGGAAGCUGCUGGUCUGAGGUCAGGACGGACUCUGUCCAAACACCGUCUCUGUUUUCACUGAGCUUCAUCCACGGACAGACAAAGAAACAUCACACACACUGUGAUGAUGAAUCUGUGAAGUGUGGGUUUCUGGGAAAAGAUACCGGAACCUUUUAGGGACAGAAUCUGAACCAGACCACGUCCCAGUAUAAGAGAACUGGUUUCACUGGUUGUAAAUGCAUCAUUAAACAGGAUUUGAUGGGAA